UAGGGAAUCUUCCACAAUGGACGCAAGUCUGAUGGAGCAACGCCGCGUGAGUGAAGAAGGCUUUCGGGUCGUAAAACUCUGUUAUUGAAGAAGAACGUGUGUGACAGUAACUGGUCAUGCAGUGACGGUAUUCAAUCAGAAAGUCACGGCUAACUACGUGCCAGCAGCCGCGGUAAUACGUAGGUGGCAAGCGUUGUCCGGAUUUACUUGGGCGUAAAGCGAGUGCAGGCGGUCUUUUAAGUCUGAUGUGAAAGCCUUCGGCUUAACCGAAGAAGGGCAUCGGAAACUGGGAGACUUGAGUGCAGAAGAGGAGAGUGGAACUCCAUGUGUAGCGGUGAAAUGCGUAGAUAUAUGGAAGAACACCAGGUGGCGAAGGC
rnacentral:rRNA from 1 species